UAAAGAGCAACUAAAUCCCAGAAUAGUGUCUACCAUGAAUAUUUCUCAUUGUGGAAGUGAUUAUUAAAACAAGAACUAAACUGCACAAAGGAGAAGGAAACCAAAACUCCAACCACAGAAGCUGUUUAUCUCAAGUAUAGAAGUUGUGUUACUGUACAUAUAAACAGAAUCAAAUGAUCUGCAGCAAAAGAAAAAAGAGCCACAGUGGACUUCUCCACAAUAUCCUCGGCAUGCUCUACUGGAUCUCCAACCAGGCUGAUGGUCUGAAGGGCUCGCCGUACCUCCCAGUCACCAGCGUAGUAAUUAUUACGUCGCAGCAGAGGGUGGAAGCGCAUUCGACGCACUCCUUCAGCCACAAAGCGCAGGCUGCGCCGGAGUUCUGCUAGCCGGGUCUCAUAGUCCUGAACCACCACCUCAAUCUUCUUACGGUCCUGGAUGAUGAAGAAGAUAGUAAAAGUGAAUGAAAUGAAUGAAAACAUGAAAUAGUUACCAGUUUCGAGCUUCUAUAAAGUUGUGUAUUUUUUUAGAGGCACUAAAAUGUGACAUUUGUAUUUUUGCAGUACCUAAUGAAUACUAACUACACAGCAACUACCAAUAAAAAACAGCCACAAAAAAUUUA